AGCUGUUCCUACUAAA
rnacentral:miRNA from 1 species